AGACAGAGGAGGCGAGCGUUGCUCGGGAUCACUGGGCUUAAAGCGGGUGUAGGCGGCCGCGUAAGUGUCGUGUGAAAGCCCACGGCUCAACCGUGGAACAGCACGGCAAACUGCGUGGCUUGAGGUCGGCAGAGGUGGCUGGAAUUCUCGGUGGAGCGGUGAAAUGCGUAGAUAUCGAGAGGAACGCCGGAGGCGAAAGCGGGCCACUGGGCCGAUUCUGACGCUGAGACCCGAAAGCGUGGGGAGCAAACAGGAUUAGAAACCCUAGUAGUCC
rnacentral:rRNA from 1 species